GGACGGGUGAGUAAUGUCUGGGAAACUGCCUGAUGGAGGGGGAUAACUACUGGAAACGGUAGCUAAUACCGCAUAACGUCGCAAGACCAAAGAGGGGGACCUUCGGGCCUCUUGCCAUCAGAUGUGCCCAGAUGGGAUUAGCUAGUAGGUGGGGUAACGGCUCACCUAGGCGACGAUCCCUAGCUGGUCUGAGAGGAUGACCAGCCACACUGGAACUGAGACACGGUCCAGACUCCUACGGGAGGCAGCAGUGGGGAAUAUUGCACAAUGGGCGCAAGCCUGAUGCAGCCAUGCCGCGUGUAUGAAGAAGGCCUUCGGGUUGUAAAGUACUUUCAGCGGGGAGGAAGGGAGUAAAGUUAAUACCUUUGCUCAUUGACGUUACCCGCAGAAGAAGCACCGGCUAACUCCGUGCCAGCAGCCGCGGUAAUACGGAGGGUGCAAGCGUUAAUCGGAAUUACUGGGCGUAAAGCGCACGCAGGCGGUUUGUUAAGUCAGAUGUGAAAUCCCCGGGCUCAACCUGGGAACUGCAUCUGAUACUGGCAAGCUUGAGUCUCGUAGAGGGGGGUAGAAUUCCAGGUGUAGCGGUGAAAUGCGUAGAGAUCUGGAGGAAUACCGG
rnacentral:rRNA from 1 species